CCCUUAGAUGUUCUGGGCCGCACGCGCGCUACACUGACUGGUGCAACAAGUGUCUGACCUUGGCUCGAGAGGCCUGGGCAACCUUUGAACGCCAGUCGUGCUGGGGAUAGAUUCUUGCAAUUAUUAAUCUUCAACGAGGAAUUCCUAGUAAACGCAAGUCAUCAGCUUGCAUUGAUUACGUCCCUGCCCUUUGUACACACCGCCCGUCGCACCUACCGAUUGAAUGGUCCGGUGAAAUCCUCGGAUCGAGCCGUGGGGCAACUCCGGUUCGAGAAGUUGAUUAAUUUCGGACGCCUUUUGGAAAAGUUGCUUAAACCUUACCAUUUAGAGGAAGGUGAAGUCGUAACA
rnacentral:rRNA from 1 species